GUCCACGCCCUAAACGAUGUCAACUGGUUGUUGGACGGCUUGCUGUUCAGUAACGAAGCUAACGCGUGAAGUUGACCGCCUGUGGAGUACGGCCGCAAUGUUGAAACUCAAAGGAAUUGACGGGGACCCGCACAAGCGGUGGAUGAUGUGGUUUAAUUCGAUGCAACGCGAAAACCUUACCUACCCUUGACAUGUCAAGAAUCCUGCAGAGAUGUGGGAGUGCUCGAAAGAGAACUUGAACACAGGUGCUGCAUGGCCGUCGU
rnacentral:rRNA from 1 species